rnacentral:ncRNA from 2 species
GCGAUCCUUCGGGGUAGGGUGAAAUUCCCAACCGGCGGUGAUCCGGCUUUUCAGACAGCGAGAGCUCCGGCUCAGCCCAAGAAAUCCGGUCAGUCCGUGACCCGUACGCAAGAGGUUAUGCCUCUGCGGCCGGUGGACCUGGUGUAAUUCCGGGACCGACAGUACAGUCUGGAUGGGAGAAGGAAUCG